rnacentral:rRNA from 1 species
AUUGAACGCUGGCGGCAGGCCUAACACAUGCAAGUCGAACGAGUGGCGGACGGGUGAGUAAUGUCUGGGAAACUGCCCGAUGGCGGGGGAUAACUACUGGAACCGGUAGCUAAUACCGCAUACCAUCGGAUGUGCCCAGAUGGGAUUAGCUAGUUGGUGGGGUAAUGGCGCACCUAGGCGACGAUCCCUAGCUGGUCUGAGAGGAUGACCAGCAACACUGGAACUGAGACACGGUCCAGACUCCUACGGGAGGCAGCAGUGGGGAAUAUUGCACAAUGGGCGAAAGCCUGAUGCAGCCAUGCCGCGUGUAUGAAGAAGGCCUUCGGGUUGUAAAGUACUUUCAGCGGGGAGGCGUUACCCGCAGAAGAAGCACCGGCUAACUCCGUGCCAGCCGCCGCGGUAAUAC